CGAAAAGAAUGCAUUGGAUGGAUGCCCGAGCAUUGAGAAGGAAGGACGCUUUCAGAGGCGAAAGGCCAUGGGGAGAUACCAUAUGUGAUACAUGGAUCUCCGAUCGGGAAACUGUAUCCAAGCUCCACAACUAGUCUGCGCUCUUUGGAGUUUUAAAACUUAGCAAACUGAAACAUCCUAGUAGCUAAAGGAAGAGAUAUCAACAGAGACCCCGUUAGUAGCGGCGAGCGAGAGCGGAUGGGGCUUUGAAGAAAAAGAAAAACGAAGCUUCGUUUCUCUUUCGAGUAUGAUAAAUUCCUCAGCAACAAAGUAUUCACUUCUUUUUCGCUUCAUUCGAUUUGUUGUGGAUUAGAUGAUAGAAAAACCAACAAGCCCAUUUCAUUGAAAGGGCACAGUGAACUUGAAUUGUGAAAGGGUUGGAAAAUCUGGAUAAAGAAGGUAAUAGCCUAGUAUAUUUGUUCCCAUGGUUCGAUCCUUCCCAGUAAAACGUGACGUAUUCGAAUUCUGAUCGCUUUUAUGUGAUAAAGGGGGACCACCCUCUAAGCCUAACUAUUCCUCAAUGAUCGAUAGCGUACAAGUACCGUAAGGGAAAUGUGAAAAGAACCCUAUUUAGGGAGUGCAAUAGAGAACCUGAGAUCCGAUGUGAACAAACAGUCAAAGGAGUAGAGCUGCAAGCCUUUACUUUAGAUUCUUUUAGUAAAAUGCACUCACUCUAACGGCGUACCUUUUGCAUGAUGGGUCAGCGAGAAAAUGGGAACAUCGGCUUAAGCCAUUAGGUUUAGGUGCUUUUCAGAGGUGGAAUAUUAUACUUCUUCCUAUUUGACCAGAAACUAAUCGAUCUAGCCAUGACCAGGUUGAAAAGAGCUCUAACAGGCCUUGGAGGAUUGAACCCACGUAUGUGGCAAAAUACGGGGAUGACUUGUGGCUAGGGGUGAAAGGCCAACCAAGAUCGGAUAUAGCUGGUUUUCCGCAAAAUCUAUUUCAGUAGAGUGUAUGAUGUCGAUGACCCGAGGUAGAGCACCCAAUGGGCUAGGGUGGCCUUAUUUCACCUUACCAACCCUAGGGAAACUCCAAAGAUAGGCCUAGAACGUUUGUACAGACAGACUUUUAUGGUGCUAAGAUCCAAAGUCGAGAGGGAAACAACCCAGAUUGUACGCUAAGGUCCCUAAGCAAUCACUUAGUGGAAAAGGACGUGAUCGAGCAAUGACAACCAGGAGGUGGGCUUAGAAGCAGCCAUCCUUUGAAGAAAGUGUAAUAGCUCACUGGUUUAGCUCCAUGGCACCGAAAAUGUAUCAGGGCUCAAGUGAUUCACUGAAGCGACGAGACCUUGAAAGUUAUUCAAGUGUUAGUAUCGGGACGUUCUGUCAAUCGGGGAAGCUUUUUGGUGACAAGACCUAGAGAUAUCAAAAGUGAGAAUGCUAACAUGAGUAACGAUAAAUCUUAUGAAAAACAUGACCGCCUGCCAAUGGAAGGCUUUAUGUGUUCAGUCAAUCUACACAGAGAUGAACCCAUCUUCCCCUCACUCUCAUUUCCCUAAGAUGAACCUUGAGUCAUCAAAGCCUUUUUGACUCGGCCUAGCCCGGUCGCCCUACGCGACUGGCGCUUCAAAAGGUAGUUAACUUGCUUACUCGUUAGAGUAGGGGUCAUGAGAGAGCAGAGUGUAUCGCUUGCCAUAGUAGUGAGUCUGCUUAUAGUCACGACUGUUGUCAUAGUCAACAAGGUUGAAACUUCCAGGAAAAAACUUUGAAAUGGGAUGGCAAUCCUCCCGCCCGGAAUCGGAAGAACUGACCGUACCCCAAACCGACACAGGUGAACAAGUAGAGUAUACUAGGGCGCUUGAGAGAACCAUGUCGAAGGAACUCGGCAAAAUGACCCCGUAACUUCAGAAUAAGGGGUGCUCUCCUAACUUUUGAUUAGGAAAGCGGCACAUACCAGGGGCUAGCGACUGUUUAUUAAAAACACAUGACUCUGCUAAGAGGUAACACAAUGUAUAGAGUCUAACACCUGCCCGGUGCUGGAAGGUCAAAAGGAGAAGUCUUAUAAGAAUUGAAUGGAAGCCCUGGUAAACGGCAGUUGUAACUCUAACUGUCCUAACGUAGUGAAAUUCCUUGUCGCAUAAGUAGCAACUUGCACGAAUGGUGUAACGACUGCCCUGCUGUCUCUGACAUGGACCCAGUGAAAUUGAAUUCUCCGUGAAGAUGCAGGCUACCAACAGCUAGACAAUAAGACCCCGUGCACCUUAACUAUAGCUUCAUGUAACUCCCCGAAAAUCAUUUCAUAUUUAAUAUAUUUAAUCUCUUAGAAAAAUGGGUAAAUUUUUAUUUCCUUUUUUUUGUAACCUAUAACUUACAAAUCAUUUUCACUUUUACCUUAUUCCAUUUUCAAGACAUCACAUUUUCAAACCUUGUAGAAAUAAAAUUCUUAAUACAUUGAAGAUAAUUAAAUGAACACAAUUCUUUUCUGAAUACUUCUCAUUCAUAAAAUUCUUGAAUAAAUACAGAAUUGUCUAUAAGGCAAAAUCUAAUCAUCACCACAAAUAAAAAAUGAAAAUACAAAGAAAAUAAUGUUGGGGCAUUGACAUUACAAAAAGUACCUCACAUAGGUUCUUAUCACAACAAAACAAAGUAGACACCUCCUAAACCGGACAUGCACUGGAAGCCUCGCUAGGGUUCUCCUCCACCUCCGACUUAGAAGUGAUCUCAAUGACCUCAACUGAAUCUUCAAUGCAGAUAAGCUCUACACAGUCGUCAUUGUCUUCCUCCUCCUCCACUUCAUCCGCUCCCCAAUCCAUCAGGGGGUCCGGGGUGAACCCCCUUGGCAUGGCCCCGUCUUUCUCUCUUGGCGUUGAUCCUGAUGAUGAGAAUCAUGUUUGGGGCCAGGUCCUAACAACUUCUGGUACGCCUCGAGCUUCAGCCGGUAUAGAAAGUUCGUCGGUUGUAGGUCUUCUGUCGGGAAAAGUGAAUGAUGCCUCCCGAAGUGCGUAGUAAGGUGAAAGAUGUAGAACUAAGUCAUUGCUUACCCAAUCCAGCUUCU
rnacentral:rRNA from 1 species